AUACGUAGGGUGCGAGCGUUAUCCGGAAUCAUUGGGCGUAAAGAGCUCGUAGGCGGUUCAGCAAGUCGGCUGUGAAAGUUCGAGGCUCAACCUCGAAAUUGCAGUCGAUACUGCUGUGACUCGAGUCCGGUAGAGGAGAAUGGAAUUCUCGGUGUAGCGGUGAAAUGCGCAGAUAUCGAGAGGAACACCAGUAGCGAAGGCGGUUCUCUGGGCCGGCACUGACGCUGAGGAGCGAAAGCGUGGGGAGCAAACAGGAUUAGAUACCCCAGUAGUCC
rnacentral:rRNA from 1 species